rnacentral:lncRNA from 1 species
AUGAGGUAUCGUCGAGCUCUAGACGUUAAAUUAAGCACUUGUUGGGAGGUAACCCAACUGUUUUUCUUUGUUUUGUUUUUCUUUCUUUUAGUUUCUUUUUGUUUCGUUGUUUUCUUUGGGAGUUUAGUGCAGUGUUGAGCUUGGAAGAUGAGGGAACUCGCGCUUUGUUCAUACCACCACCAUGGAGCAUAUUUUUCUGUGAGUAGUGACACACAUAUCAUCAUCCCUCCAAACUUAUUUUCGAACUUAUGUUCUGUAAUAAGUUUGGGGGAGGGGGGUGAGAGUAGAUAUGUGUAUCACUUUUAUUAUUUUUGUUGGCUUUAUUGUUUUAUCCUGCUUGGUUGGUGGUGUGUGUUUGUGAUUGUUUUUUA